rnacentral:hammerhead_ribozyme from 1 species
AUCCAGCCGACGAGUCUUAAAUAGGACGAAACGCGCAUCCUGGAU